UCUCCGUAGGUGAACCUGCGGAGGGAUCAUUACUGAGUGAGGGCCUCUGGCCCGACCUCCAACCCUUUGAUGUCCAACUCUGUUGCCUCGGGGGCGACCCGGCCUUCGGGCCCGGGGCCCCCCGUGGUCCACUCAACUCUGCAUCUUUGCGUCUGAGUAAACAUUAAAUGAAACAAAACUUUCAACAACGGAUCUCUUGGUUCUG
rnacentral:misc_RNA from 1 species